UGCUUCAGCAGGGACUCAGAGUGAACCAUGGAAGCCUUGGCUCUGCUCCUCUGCUUUCUGGUACUAAAGCUCCCAGAUACCAUUGGACAAACCCAGCUGACUCAGACUCCAGAAUCCCUGGCUGUGUCUCUUGGAGAAACAGUCACUCUCAGCUGCAGGGCCAGUCAGGGUGUGAGCAACUACCUAGAAUGGUACCAGCAGAAACCUGGGCAGGCUUCCAGACUCCUCAUCUAUAUUGUCUCUAGCAGGGUCACUGGUGUCCCAGCCCGGUUCAGUGGCAGCGGAUCAGGGACAGACUUCACUCUCACCAUCAGCAGCCUGCAGCCCGAGGACAUUGCAGUUUAUCACUGUUUCCAGUAUUACAGCAGGAGUCCCACAGUGAUUCAACCUGUGACAAAAAUCUCCCUGAUUGUUUGUCAUGAUUUUUCUCAUUGCAGCUGCUUCCUGGACAGCUGCAAAGGACAGCUGCUGGUUCCUCUCAGUUUAAAUGCUCUGCCUACAUCUGGCAACCUUGUGACUCUGAAAAGUAACUUGCGACUCUGA